rnacentral:rRNA from 1 species
AUUGAACGCUGGCGGAAUGCUUUACACAUGCGAGUCGAACGGCAGCACGGGGGCAACCCUGGUGGCGAGUGGCGAACGGGUGAGUAAUACAUCGGAACGUGCCCAGUCGUGGGGGAUAACGUAGCGAAAGCUACGCUAAUACCGCAUACGAUCUCUGGAUGAAAGCGGGGGACCGCAAGGCCUCGCGCGAUUGGAGCGGCCGAUGGCAGAUUAGGUAGUUGGUGGGGUAAAGGCCUACCAAGCCGACGAUCUGUAGCGGGUCUGAGAGGACGACCAGCCACACUGGGACUGAGACACGGCCCAGACUCCUACGGGAGGCAGCAGUGGGGAAUUUUGGACAAUGGGCGAAAGCCUGAUCCAGCCAUUCCGCGUGCAGGAUGAAGGCCCUCGGGUUGUAAACUGCUUUUGUACGGAACGAAAAGGCUCUUUCUAAUACAGAGAGCUCAUGACGGUACCGUAAGAAUAAGCACCGGCUAACUACGUGCCAGCAGCCGCCGUAACAC